UACGAAGGGGGCUAGCGUUGCUCGGAAUCACUGGGCGUAAAGCGCACGUAGGCGGAUCGUUAAGUCGGGGGUGAAAUCCUGGAGCUCAACUCCAGAACUGCCUUCGAUACUGGCGAUCUUGAGUCCGGAAGAGGUGAGUGGAACUCCUAGUGUAGAGGUGGAAUUCGUAGAUAUUAGGAAGAACCCCAGUGGCGAAGGCGGCUCACUGGUCCGGUACUGACGCUGAGGUGCGAAAGCGUGGGGAGCAAACAGG
rnacentral:rRNA from 1 species